rnacentral:lncRNA from 1 species
GGCGGGCACUUAUCUGUGUCACAUGCUUUGCAUUGGCUGCAAAGAAGACCACUCUUCAUAUGUUCAGCAUCAGCCACCACGGCUGCUUGAACGACAGCUAGGGCUAGGGCUAGGGCUGUAGCUAGAGAAACGAAGUAGCUUCCCAUACCUCCUUCUCUCAAACCGGGCUUCGCUGUGUUUCUUGUUCUUAGGUUGUAUAUUCUUCAUAUAUGCUGCCCCCUCUGAUUCUUGUUUUCAUCAAUUGUCACAAUGAGACGAGCAUUGUUGUUUGGAAAUCGGCAUGAUUGGUGUCCCAUCUACAACCAAGAUUUGUUGUUGGCAGCUUUGUUUUUAUUCAUUGCAUUGGAGCUAACUACAUUCGGCUUCAAUAAAUCUUUGUUUUAUGCUUUAAUCUCUCUAUCUUAGUUAUACAUCUUGUCUUGUUCUUAUACCAGCUCAGAUCUUUUUUAUUCUUUAACUCUCAAGCCUUCUAUUAAUAACAUAAUUGAACUCUUAUUGACAUAAAGCCCUUUAGUUCAUAUUACUCAAAACAUUUAAUUAUGCCAGCUAAUGAAUGAGCUUAUUAAAUCUUAAAACUCACAACUAAAUUAAGUUUAUUAUUUCUUAAACUACACAAAUAAUUAAGGGCAGGGAAUGAAGGGCCAAAGGCUUAGGGUUCACGAAAUACGAGAGCCUCAAAUUUUAAAAAUAUUCCCAUUAGUUAUAACUUAAUAUUUAUUAAUUACAAAUUCAUUAGAAAAUACUAUAAAUGUGUUACCAUAAUAUAAAGUUGAUUGGUGAAGUUCUUGAGUUUGUUAAAACUUUGUAUUGUUUUUCUCAUAUUUAUAUUCUAUAGAUAUUGUUAAAUAUUGUAGCUUCAACAAAAUAUUUUUAUGUAUUAGAAAUGAGUUAAAUAAAAUUCUUGAUCUUGGAGGUGUAAUUAAUGAUUUUAUUUCUCAAAAUGUUUAGAAGAUCUACAUUAUUUCAAUAAAUAUUUAAUUAUUGUUGCUUGGUUAUUGUACUUUAUAAAUUAAAGUUAUAUAGUCACACAAAUAUGGAAAACGAUUAUGAACCAUUUAUAGUUGAUAAUAAAAAUAUCAAUUUCAUUUCUUAAGAAGCCAAUUUUUUUCAUUUUUUCUCAAGUCCCUCGAAAUAUUUGGACCGACCUUAACAAAGAGGUUUACGUUAGGCCACGGACAUAAAAAUGUGCAUACGUGGACGAGGUUGUCAUUUUGAUCUGUCUGUUUAUAUUUUGGUACACAUAUUCUUAUAUUUGCAAUUUCAUUCACAUUCAAUAUUAAUUUAAAAAAAAAAAACUCAUCCAACAAAUCAUUUAAGAAUUGACUAACAAAUAAAUUUGAUGUAUCAUUUCUCCUCUUUCUAAAUAUCUUCUAAAUAUUUAUUUCUCCACUUUGGUGUAAGGCCAAAUUAUUUAAUAUGUGUUGACUAUUGGUGAAGGGUAGUUGUACUCACCAGACCACAAGUUCCUUUAUACUUUAUUCCUCUUCAUCUUCACUAAUUUACUUCCCUCUCAUCACUAGCAAAUCAAGAGUGUUCCACCAAUCAAUUAGACCAAAGAUAUCUGAGUCUCACCUCGAAUUGUUGCAAUGGCAGAAGCAGUGGUGUCAAUGGCUCUAGAAACCUUGCGCAAUUUGUUGUUGGAAGAAGCAAGGUUUUUAUCUGGUGUGGGCGAUGAAGUGAGGGAGCUCGAGAUCCAGCUGAAACAGAUGAAGUGUCUCCUCGAAGAUGCUGACAGAAGACGACACGAAAGCAAAACCAUUUUCAAUUUGAUCUCGGAGAUCAGAGAUCUUGUGUAUGGAGCCGAAGCUGCCAUUGAAAGACACGCAGCUUAUCAAGUGUGUUCAAGGAGAAGACGAGGCCUCAGACAGCUCGUCCGCAGAUGUAGUUGUAGUUUGGAAGAAUACAAGUCGAUCCACCAACUAGGCUCCGAGAUUUCACCGAUCAAAUCCCGUCUUGAAAGGAUAAACAAGGAAAUGCAAGAAAAUGGCAUAAAGAAGAGCAUCAUCAACACUACAAAUGGAGGGGAAAGCUCAGCUGCCGGCGAAAACAAAAAUUGGUCGAGGAAAACCUUUCCCGAAUUCGAGAUUGGAGAGUGUUUUGUGCGGAUGGAGGAUGAGCUGAAGCAGCUUGAAUAUCUGCUAGUCGAGGACAAAGAGCAUCGAGUUAUUUCAGUAUGGGGCAUGGGAGGUUCGGGCAAGACCACCAUUGCUAGAAAGGUAUACAACCACAUCAAACACACCAAAAGCAGUUGCUUUGAGUCUUUCGCGUGGGUUUGUAUAUCUCAGCAAUGUCAGAUAAAAUCAGUUUUGGAGGAUAUUCUCAGCCAGCUAAGACUAGAAAAGGUUAAUGAGAAUAAUGUGAGUGACACGGCGUUGAUCGGGCAACUGUGCGAGAUACAAAGAGAGAAGCGAUGCCUGAUUGUUGUGGACGAUCUUUGGGAGACUUCACAUUGGGAUGGUCUCAAGCAUGCCUUUCUUGUCCAGNAAAAAGAAUCCCACCUAAGAAUCUAGCAAGGUGACUCAUCAUUCAAUUGCUGGAUUUUGUAUAGCGAGAUAUUUUCUGGAAAACGCUGAUAGUUGGGGGUUUUUGAAUAGAAACAAAAGUUGGGAACAUUUUCUGGAAAACAUUAGAAAGUUGGGGAGACAAACAUGAUUAUUAACCCUUUAUGAAACUAGGCAUUUACCUAUGAAAGCCAGAAGCUGAACCAGAGGUGGAUUCCCAGCCAAAAUAGGAGUUGUUCUUAGCCGACACUCCACCUAUAACAUUAGGCACAGAGUAGACACCCCUAUCUCCGUACUUGAUAUAGUCGGACUGCAACGCGCCAGCAAUUAGGGAGUCGUCAAAAGCAGUCAUGUGAGGGUAUGCAUCACUAGGCGGGCACUUAUCUGUGUCACAUGCUUUGCAUUGGCUGCAAAGAAGACCACUCUUCAUAUGUGCAGCAUCAGCCACCACGGCUGCUUGAACGACAGCUAGGGCUAGGGCUAUAGCUAGAGAAACGAAGUAGCUUCCCAUACCUCCUUCUCUCAAACCGGGCUUCGUUGUGUUUCUUGUUCUUGUUCUUAGGUUGUAUAUACUUCAUAUAUGCUGCCCCCUCUGAUUCUUGUUUUCAUCAAUUGUCGCAAUGAGACGAGCAUUGUUGUUUGGAAAUCGGCAUGAUAGGUAUCCCAUCUACAACCAAGAUUUGUUGUUGGCAGCUUUGUUUUUAUUCAUUGCAUUGGAGCUAACUACAUUCGGCUUCAAUAAAUCUUUGUUUUAUGCUUUAAUCUCUCUAUCUUAGUUAUAUAUCUUGUCUUGUUCUUAUACCAGCUCAGAUCUUUUUCUUCUUUAACUCUCAAGCCUUCUAUUAAUAACAUAAUUGAACUCUUAUUGACAUAAAGCCCCUUAGUUCAUAUUACUCAAAACAUUUAAUUAUGCCAGCUAAUGAAUGAGCUUAUUAAAUCUUAAAACUCACAACUAAAUUAAGUUUAUUAUUUCUUAAAACUCACAAAUAAUUAAGGGGCAGGGAAUGAAGGGCCAAAGGCUUAGGGUUCACAAAUACGAGAGCCUCAAAUUUUAAAAAUAUUCCCAUUAGUUAUAACUUAAUAUUUAUUAAUUACAAAUUCAUUAGAAAAUACUAUAAAUGUGUUACCAUAAUAUAAAGUUGAUUGGUGAAGUUCUUGAGUUUGUUAAAACUUUGUAUUGUUUUUCUCAUAUUUAUAUUCUAUAGAUAUUGUUAAAUAUUGUAGCUUCAACAAAAUAAUUUUAUGCAUUAGAGAUGAGGUACAUAAAAUUCUUGAUCUUGGAGGUGUAAUUAAUGAUUUUAUUUCUCAAAAUGUUUAGAAGAUCUACAUUAUUUCAAUAAAUAUUUAAUUAUUGUUGUUUGGUUAUUGUACUUUAUAAAUUAAAGUUAUAUAGUCAUACAAAUAUGGAAAAUGAUUAUGAACCAUUUAUAGUUGAUAAUAAAAAUAUCAAUUUCAUUUUUUAAGGAGCCAAUUUUUUCAUUUUCACUUAAGUCUCUCGAAAUAUUUGGACCGACCUUAACAAAGAGGUUUAUGUUAGGCCACGGACAUAAAAAUGUGCAUAUAUGGACGAGGUUGUCAUUUUGAUCUGUCUGCUUAUAUUUUGGUACACAUAUUCUUAUAUUUGCAAUUUCAUUCACAUUCAAUAUUAAUUAAAAAAAAAAAAAAACUCAUCCAACAAAUCAUUUAAGAAUUGACUAACAAAUAAAUUUUGAUGUAUCAUUUCUCCACUUUCUAAAUAUCUUCUAAACAUUUAUUUCUCCACUUUGGUGUAAGGCCAAAUUAUUUAAUAUGUGUUGACUAUUGGUGAAGGGUAGUUGUACUCACCAGCUCUAAAAUUACGACCACAAGUUCCUUUAUACUUAUUCCUCUUCAUCUUCACUAAUUUACUUCCCUCUCAUCACUAGCAAAUCAAGAGUGUUCCACCAAUCAAUUAGACCAAAGAUAUCUGAGUCUCACCUCGAAUUGUUGCAAUGGCAGAAGCAGUGGUGUCAAUGGCUCUAGAAACCUUGCGCGAUUUGUUGUUGGAAGAAGCA